rnacentral:lncRNA from 1 species
GCUACCCAAAAACAUAGAUUAUUUCUAAACAAGUUUUAUCAUCUUUAUUAAGCAAUGUUGUGGACCUAUCAUAUCACAAGGAUCAUUUACAUGAAUUAAACCAUAACCAGGGAGCAUAUCAUGCUAAGUAACCAUGGUUGUCAAACAAUCCAAAAUAUCACCCAAACCCUAAAGGGAUUAAUUAUUUCUAUUUCUUUUAUAAGCAUUUUAAAUAGCUUUAUCAAGAAACAGAGCAUACUUGAUCAAACAGAGCUGAAAUUAAUCAUGAAGCUAAAUAACAUUAACACAAGCUCACAUAUUAAAUUUCAUGAUUUUUGGAUAUACCCAUAAUUUACUAAAAAUCAUGGAAGAUUUAUUUAUUAUUAAACAGGGACAAUUUUCAUAUAUAUGCAAACUGCCAGAAAAUGGAAUCUAAUAUUUUUCAUGUGUUCUACUCAUCUUAUGGAAUCUAUACAAAAAUUUUCACAAUUUUUGAAUCAGCACAUGAUUUAAUACAUAAAAUCAAACAUCAAUCACUUUUGAACAAAAAGGAAAAAGAAAAAGAAAACAGCGCAGUGAAAAGGCCUG